CAGGCUUAACACAUGCAAGUCGAGGGGCAGCACAGGUAGCAAUACCGGGUGGCGACCGGCGCACGGGUGAGUAACGCGUAUGCAACUUGCCUAUCAGAGGGGGAUAACCCGGCGAAAGUCGGACUAAUACCGCAUGAAGCAGGGGCCCCGCAUGGGGAUAUUUGCUAAAGAUUCAUCGCUGAUAGAUAGGCAUGCGUUCCAUUAGGCAGUUGGCGGGGUAACGGCCCACCAAACCGACGAUGGAUAGGGGUUCUGAGAGGAAGGUCCCCCACAUUGGUACUGAGACACGGACCAAACUCCUACGGGAGGCAGCAGUGAGGAAUAUUGGUCAAUGGCCGAGAGGCUGAACCAGCCAAGUCGCGUGAGGGAUGAAGGUUCUAUGGAUCGUAAACCUCUUUUAUAAGGGAAUAAAGUGCGGGACGUGUCCCGUUUUGUAUGUACCUUAUGAAUAAGGAUCGGCUAACUCCGUGCCAGCAGCCGCGGUAAUACGGAGGAUCCGAGCGUCAUCCGGAUUUAUUGGGUUUAAAGGGUGCGUAGGCGGCCUUUUAAGUCAGCGGUGAAAGUCUGUGGCUCAACCAUAGAAUUGCCGUUGAAACUGGGGGGCUUGAGUAUGUUUGAGGCAGGCGGAAUGCGUGGUGUAGCGGUGAAAUGCAUAGAUAUCACGCAGAACCCCGAUUGCGAAGGCAGCCUGCCAAGCCAUUACUGACGCUGAUGCACGAAAGCGUGGGGAUCAAACAGGAUUAGAUACCCUGGUAGUCCACGCAGUAAACGAUGAUCACUAGCUGUUUGCGAUACACUGUAAGCGGCACAGCGAAAGCGUUAAGUGAUCCACCUGGGGAGUACGCCGGCAACGGUGAAACUCAAAGGAAUUGACGGGGGCCCGCACAAGCGGAGGAACAUGUGGUUUAAUUCGAUGAUACGCGAGGAACCUUACCCGGGUUUGAACGCAUUCGGACCGAGGUGGAAACACCUUUUCUAGCAAUAGCCGUUUGCGAGGUGCUGCAUGGUUGUCGUCAGCUCGUGCCGUGAGGUGUCGGCUUAAGUGCCAUAACGAGCGCAACCCUUGCCACUAGUUACUAACAGGUUAGGCUGAGGACUCUGGUGGGACUGCCAGCGUAAGCUGCGAGGAAGGCGGGGAUGACGUCAAAUCAGCACGGCCCUUACAUCCGGGGCGACACGCGUGUUACAAUGGCGUGGACAAAGGGAUGCCACCUGGCGACAGGGAGCGAAUCCCCAAACCACGUCUCAGUUCGGAUCGGAGUCUGCAACCCGACUCCGUGAAGCUGGAUUCGCUAGUAAUCGCGCAUCAGCCAUGGCGCGGUGAAUACGUUCCCGGGCCUUGUACACACCGCCCGUCAAGCCAUGGGAGCCGGGGGUACCUGAAGUCCGUAACCGAAAGGAUCGGCCUAGGGUAAAACUGGUGACUGGGGCUAAGUC
rnacentral:rRNA from 1 species